CUACUUCUACCUUUUUCUCUGCUUCUUAUCUCAUUUUUCCGGUGACUUUUCUCCUUCUCUCUCCCCGUGAUUCCUAUCACUUUCCUUUUCCACUAGAAGCAGGUCGCUAUUGCGAAUCCAUGGUGAACCACCAUAGCGCCCCAUCUUCAUCCCGUUGGAGUCUCACUGAUCCUCCGACAGGGCCAAUAUUGUUGCGUCCUCAACCACCCGCGCACAGCUCGUCGACUUUGGCCUGGCCGUUAGCAUCGUGUAGUGCUAGGUCCGGCCGCCUCGAACGAGCUUGAAGAACCAUAUGCUGGCUUGCAUCGUAUUCGAGAAAAGGUGCCUUAGCACGAGCUCACCCUCAUGAUGCGCCUCGUCCCCCGGAGAGGGCUAUGGAGUGUAGAACAGCGGUCGGCGUGACACGCUUGUUGAUCAGCAAAAAUACCUUGAGAGUGAAGGUACAACGGCGUGAGUCCGUCAUUGCUCCAAGUGAGGCUCCAGAUUAAUUGCAUGGCAGUUUUAGCCUUGUUCUUGUUUUUAGGAAUCAAUAUCAUCUACACAGGAAGAGAGUUCAUUUGUUUUCCGUUCUCUUAUUUCCAUUCUUUCCCGGUGGACUUUCCUCGUGCUUGAUUUUCCACAGCCGCAAUUGGUGAUUGUACCUGUAGUCUUUUAUUUCAUGGGGCCAGAAUUGGGGCAAACGCCAGGGGAUGUCACUGCUCAAUGUAUGUACUAUUUCUGGGUAUUUUUUAGAUAUUUGACAGAACUUGUCGCCUCACAACAAACUUUGUACUACUCUGUAUGUGGAAAAUAAUUUUCAAGCAAAGAUUU